UCGGGAAUUUUGGGCAAUGGGCGCAAGCCUGAUCCAGCGACGCCGCGUGUGUGAAGAAGGCCUGCGGGUUGUAAAGCUCUUUUGUCAGGGAAGAAACGGUAGUAGCGAAUAACUACUACUAAUGACGGUACCUGAAGAAUAAGCACCGGCUAACUACGUGCCAGCAGCCGCGGUAAUACGUAGGGUGCAAGCGUUAAUCGGAAUUACUGGGCGUAAAGCGUGCGCAGGCGGUUGUGUAAGUCAGAUGUGAAAUCCCCGGGCUCAACCUGGGAAUUGCAUUUGAGACUGCACGGCUAGAGUGUGUCAGAGGGGGGUAGAAUUCCACGUGUAGCAGUGAAAUGCGUAGAUAUGUGGAGGAAUACCGAUGGCGAAGGCAGCCCCCUGGGAUAACACUGACGCUCAUGCACGAAAGCGUGGGGAGCAAACAGGAUUAGAUACCCCUGUAGUCCCUGAGCGGGCUGGCAAGGCGCAU
rnacentral:rRNA from 1 species